rnacentral:lncRNA from 1 species
CCAUGCUAUCCUUGUUAUGUAUUUCUGUUUUGGUCAUAAAUUCAUCAAACUUUGAAUCGAGGUCAAGCUUCAUCUCAUUCGUCCUGCUAUCAAAAAGUCUGUUUAUUUUCGACAUUGACACGUUCAUCAUUUCAAACAUAUCCUCUCGCAUAGUAUUUUUAAUUUCUUCUUUAACUACUUUAUGAAUAUAACUUUUUAUAAACUUAUUAAGUUUCCUUACAUCUAAGUCCGCCUUUAGAGUAGCUUCCAUUUUAUCUAACAAAGGCAUAGACAUGAUUUGCUCACAAUUUAAUCCAGUGCAUUCAAUUUCCUCCAUCAUUAAGAGAUCGAAGUUUACAAAAGCAAAGAACAGAAUUAUUACUGAUUUCAUAGUGUGUCUGAGUUGAAAAUAUAGUGAACUUUUUUUAAUUUACAUCCAGUUUUCGUGUGAUUUAUUUGUUAUACUUUUAUAUAAUGUAUGUUCAUAUGAGAUGUAGAGUUGGCAGAAUACUUGAAUGCCACUUUCCUUGUUUAACGAGAUCCAACUUCACUUAAAA